rnacentral:rRNA from 1 species
CAGUCGCCGCGGUAAUACGAAGGGUGCAAGUGUUAAUCGGAAUUACUGGGCGUAAAGCGCGCGUAGGUGGUUUGGUAAGAUGGAUGUGAAAUCCCCGGGCUCAACCUGGGAACUGCAUCCAUAACUGCCUGACUAGAGUACGGUAGAGGGUGGUGGAAUUUCCUGUGUAGCGGUGAAAUGCGUAGAUAUAGGAAGGAACACCAGUGGCGAAGGCGACCACCUGGACUGAUACUGACACUGAGGUGCGAAAGCGUGGGGAGCAAACAGGAUUAGAUACCCCAGUAGUCCCUGUCUCUUAUAC